UCAGAGCAAGCAUAACCAAAAUAUCGCGCAUGAAGAAUAAGAAAGAAUCAUCGGGGUAUACCUGCCAGAGACCGGUCCGGCGCGUCUUCGAUAGUGAGACAGAAAAUCAAUGAUCCAGAAAAUAUGAACAGGGAUAGAGACGAGAGAAGAUUGAAGAUGAAUAUUGUUGGAACAGUUGCAGAGAGAUGGAGAGGUGAUUAUGAAGACGUGAAGGAAAGUGCAGAUAAAAUUCAAAGAGAAUUUGAAGUUUUUUGGCACCGAUGUUUGGAGAAGUGAAUCAUUGAAGCCUCUAAAUUUCAGAGAGAACUCUGAAACUUCUCUGAGAAGUUCGUCUGCAGAAGUGAAGAUCGUCCUCCUC